AGCUAAUGGCUGGGGCCAGCUUUUCCAAGGUGCGCGUUCAGAUUUGAAGGUGCCUCUCCUCCCUUCUCGUUUCCUUCCUCUCAGAGAGAGAGGUACCUGAGCCGGCAGGUCAACUCAGGUUACCUCAACAGGUAUAAGACCCCCGAGGGGGCUGAAUGCCAACCAGAGAGAGCGGUCCCCUAACAACCAAAGCCUGGAAAUAAAGGAACCGCAAGCAGCCAUCCUUGCUGGGGCGUCUCCGUCCCUCGCCCCGAGGCCUGCACCGCCCUCCUAGACACUGUGCAAAAGGAACUGCCGCGAUUAUCCCCACAACCAGGCGCAUUUCUGGCCUCGGAACACCGCGCACGCAGACACACGCACCGAAGCUCCCGCGACCGCCUGCCCGUGGCGCGCACCCUAAACUCCUCGCUCCUCUUACCCUGCCUCCUGCUCCGUACCGCCUAUUCCGCCGCCGCCUGCAGGACUUUGGGUGAGGUCCUGUUCUCCGUGGGCCAUAGACAAAACAUUCCUAUAAUCCGAUUUCAAAGGAAAGAGUGUCCACCUUAUUUAAACCAUAAAACAAUUAAGCCCAGACGUCUAGCCAGCUCCGCGCUGCUGUUUUGUUCGGCCCCAUUCAGAAUCCAGCGCAGGGAGACAAACAGCGCCAUAAAAGUGGCAUUUCGGGGCCUCGGAAAUGUACCUACCCUCUGCCUUCCCAAGUGGAACAACCUUUAGGGUUUUGUGAUUCUGACAAAGGAGCAGAGGAGAGGUGGGAGGGGAGGAUUAGGGCAGGGGGGCGUUUGCAAGCCCCUCUUUCGUCCCUAGCUUUCGUUUCUUUCCCUAGAUGUGUGUCAUGUUGUUGUGGUUUGAGUUCACAAAUGACAAUAAAUAAAAAUCGAAUCCAAUCCUGACCUGCAGGCUGGAGGUUGAGCUGGUACUGAACCGUGGGCUGGACCGCGUGGGCCUACUCUGGAUCCCACGCUCUGGUUAGGGCCCUCCUUCCUGCCCGGAGCCAGACCGGCUCAGGCGG
ensembl:lncRNA